rnacentral:rRNA from 1 species
AAUAAAGUGGGCUAAUGACGGUACCGUAAGAAUAAGCACCGGCUAACUACGUGCCAGCAGCCGCGGUAAUACGUAGGGUGCGAGCGUUAAUCGGAAUUACUGGGCGUAAAGCGUGCGCAGGCGGUUAUAUAAGACAGUUGUGAAAUCCCCGGGCUCAACCUGGGAAUUGCAUCUGUGACUGUAUAGCUAGAGUACGGUAGAGGGGGAUGGAAUUCCGCGUGUAGCAGUGAAAUGCGUAGAUAUGCGGAGGAACACCGAUGGCGAAGGCAAUCCCCUGGACCUGUACUGACGCUCAUGCACGAAAGCGUGGGGAGCAAACAGGAUUAGAUACCCUGGUAGUCCACGCCCUAAACGAUGUCAACUGGUUGUUGGGUGCAUUAGUACUCAGUAACGAAGCUAACGCGUGAAGUUGACCGCCUGGGGAGUACGGCCGCAAGGUUGAAACUCAAA